GAUCCUGGCUCAGGACGAACGCUGGCGGCGUGCCUAAUACAUGCAAGUAGAACGCUGAAGGAGGAGCUUGCUCUUCUGGAUGAGUUGCGAACGGGUGAGUAACGCGUAGGUAACCUGCCUGGUAGCGGGGGAUAACUAUUGGAAACGAUAGCUAAUACCGCAUAACAUUGACUAUUGCAUGAUAGUCAAUUGAAAGGUGCAAAUGCACCACUACCAGAUGGACCUGCGUUG
rnacentral:rRNA from 1 species